GACGAACGCUGGCGGCGUGCUUAACACAUGCAAGUCGAACGGUAAGGCCCCAGCUUGCUGGGGUACUCGAGUGGCGAACGGGUGAGUAACACGUGGGUGAUCUGCCCUGCACUUCGGGAUAAGCCUGGGAAACUGGGUCUAAUACCGGAUAGGAUCAUCGUUUAGUGUCGGUGGUGGAAAGUUUUUCGGUGCAGGAUGAGCCCGCGGCCUAUCAGCUUGUUGGUGGGGUAAUGGCCUACCAAGGCGUCGACGGGUAGCCGGCCUGAGAGGGUGGACGGCCACAUUGGGACUGAGACACGGCCCAGACUCCUACGGGAGGCAGCAGUGGGGAAUAUUGCACAAUGGGCGCAAGCCUGAUGCAGCGACGCCGCGUGGGGGAUGACGGCCUUCGGGUUGUAAACUCCUUUCAACCAUGACGAAGCUUUUGUGACGGUAGUGGUAGAAGAAGCACCGGCUAACUACGUGCCAGCCGCCGCAGUAA
rnacentral:rRNA from 1 species